rnacentral:pre_miRNA from 1 species
AGGAGGAACAGCCCCAGUGGCGGGGCAGCUCUGGAAACCUGGAUUCAGCUCCGGCAGGAACUCCGGAGCUCUCGGUCUGCAGGGCCUGGAGGCUCGGGGCGGG